ACACGCCCGCCCGAUUUCUGGGGGCAGGGCCCUGCCGCCUCUCUAAGCAUUCGUGCCCAAGGAGGCGGUCUGGGCCUCGCUCCUCGUCGCCCCUUCUUCGCCGGUGGCCCCCCAUCUUCCACUCGCUGCCCCUCGUAGUAGGGGGUGGUGGUGAGGCUGGGGUGGUGCAACACGGUCGAGGAGGGCGUGCGACGGCCUGUUUCACCGUAUCAUUGGAAUUGACAGACUGAGCCUCACGUUCCGUGACCCAGGUGGCCGCCUUGCGGGUGUGCGCGAGGGGGGCUGGCAAGUGGCAGCAUCGUUUGAACGCGACGUUGUCCUCCUCCCCUCUUGGCAUGUCUUGGGGAAGCCCUUGGGCCGCGGUUCCAACAAAAGAGAGUA
rnacentral:misc_RNA from 1 species